UACGAAGGGGGCUAGCGUUGUUCGGAAUUACUGGGCGUAAAGCGCGUGUAGGCGGGUCUUUAAGUCAGGGGUGAAAUGCCAAGGCUCAACCUUGGAACUGCCUUUGAUACUGGCGAGCUCGAGUCCGGGAGAGGUGAGUGGAACUGCGAGUGUAGAGGUGAAAUUCGUAGAUAUUCGCAAGAACACCAGUGGCGAAGGCGGCUCACUGGCCCGGUACUGACGCUGAGGUGCGAAAGCGUGGGGAGCAAACAGG
rnacentral:rRNA from 1 species